ensembl:lncRNA
GGAAAGGCUAAUCCACAAAAACGGAGAAACGUCCAUAAUUCCAUUAUUCAUAAUCAUGUCAAGGUUUUAGGUUUUUCUGCAGUUCCAUCUCUAAAAAGUGUGAUGUCUUCCCGUCACUGAUUUCAGUUUGAAAACUUUGUAUUUAUUCACAGAUUUCUGUGAGAUCAUCCUAAAAUUUGUAACGAAAAAUGGGCUCAAAAGAGCCCUCUGCCUAACGGCAUGUAGCCUAUAGCAUAACGUGAUAUUUUCAGUAGUGUAUGCAAAAAGGUCGGAAUUGAUGGAGAGUAGGGUUGCCUAAAUGGUUUAGGUUACAUUUUAAAUGUGUCGUUUUUUUGUUUAUACAUAUGGAUGGAUGGAGGGGGCAAGCUGGCAAAGUUUGUCAUGUGCAGUUUCUGACAGGCUACUUCACAACAAAACAAUUGCAGGUUGGUCUUAGAGGGCAAACAGAAUAAUUUCACUCGAUUCAUGGGUUACCUGACUGGUUGGGAAGGGAAAGAGCUGCCGUGUUGUCCGCCGUGGUUCCCAGUCGCUAUAGUUAGCCUACUAUGCCUACUCCAAGUAGUCCUAUGUCAUGCCGCUGCUACACGCCUCACAACAAAUGAACUGCAAGCGUGUUCACGUGACACGGUGACAGUGAAAAAGCGACAGGGUUCGGGUGUCUUUGAAGAAGGGGCACAAAUCAAGCCAUUAUUUUCACACCUUUUUAAAUCGCGCAGCUUUAAAAAAAUAAUAAUAAUCACGUCUUUCAAAAGGGCACUUUUUUGGACUGAAGGCAAAAGGGCAAGUGCUUCAGCACCACCUCGUCUCUAUCUGUGCAUGCCAGUGGCAGUGUGUCCCUCAGUCUGUCCUCACUCUGGACACUUUUUUGUUUUUGCAAGUGUUUUUGUUUUUGCAGGUGUUUUUCUUUGGCAGGUGUUUUUGUUUUUGCAGCAAUUUUCUUUUUGCAGGUUUUUUUCUUUUGCAGGUGUUUUUGUUUUUGCAGCAUUUUUCUUUUUGCAGGUGUUUUUGUUUUUGCAAGUGUUUUUCUUUUUGCAGGUGUUUUUCUUUUGCAGGUGUUUUUGUUUUUUGCAGGGGUUUUUCUUUUGCAGGGGUUUUUGUUUUUGCAGGUGUUUUUCUUUUGCAGAUGUUUUUGUUUUUGCAGCAUUUUUCUUUUUGCAGGUGUUUUUCUUUUGCAGGUGUUUUUGUUUUUGCAGCAUUUUUCUUUUUGCAAGUGUUUUUCUUUUUACAGGUGUUUUUCUUUUGCAGGUGUUUUUGUUUUUGCAGCAAUUUUCUUUUUGCAGGUGUUUUUCUUUUUGCAGGUGUUUUUCUUUUGCAGGGGUUUUUGUUUUUGCAGGUGUUUUUCUUUUGCAGGUGUUUUUGUUUUUGCAGCAUUUUUGUUUUUGCAGGUGUUUUUCUUUUGCAGGUGUUUUUGUUUUUGCAGCAUUUUUCUUUUGCAGGGGUUUUUCUUUUUGCAAGUGUUUUUCUUUUGCAGGUGUUUUUCUUUUUGCAGGUGUUUUUCUUUUGCAGGUGUUGUUCUUUUUGCAGGUGUUUUUCUUUUGCAGGUGUUUUUGUUUUUGCAGCAUUUUUCUUUUUGCAAGUGUUUUCUGAAGUUGCAGUCCGUUUGGCCUCUCAGUGCCACCGUAACAGGUGGAAUCAGGACCACAUUAAGACCUAAUCACCUUCUCUCUCUGUCACACACACACACACACACACACACACACACACACACACACACACAUUUGCUGUAACACAAAAAGAGAGAGAGUAUUUAAAUGUAAAGUCUGAACAUUAGUCACUCUGUCUUCGGUGUGUGUUAGGAGGGUAAAAGUCCAGCUGGCUUAUUUUCCUACCUGGACUCCAUGGUAACGUUGUCAUAAAAGCACGUCAAUAAUUAAUAUGGACUUUUGCGUGUGCGUGCUUUCAAAGUUUUCCUCACACACACACUCUCUCUCUCUCUGUUAUUACAGUCUGUGUGUGUGUGUGUGUGUGUGUGUGUGUGUGUGUGUGUGUGUGUGUGUGUGUGUGUGUGUGUCUGUUCCUGUCUAGCUGUCUUGUGAGAGCCAACAGUCAC